CAAGGCACCACCGCGUGACUGCCAGUUGGCUGUGCCAAGCGUGAGUGCGUGCGUGUGACAGCUGUAAGUGUGUGUGUGUGACAGCUGUAAGUGCAAAACAGAGAAACACACACACCCAGGCAGGAGCACGGGCUCUCCUCCUCGCGUAUGGGUACAGUGCCGCCACCGCCGCCAUGCGCGGCCGUGCGGAGCGGAUGCCGUGAUGGCGAGGCGGCCCUACCACUGGCGGCGCUCCCCCCGGGCCAGGCCCACCCCCCGCACCACCAGCUCGAUCUCCUAUUUCCUUCCCAAUGUCCAGCACAGCCCGCCCUCCUCUCUGGCUUCUGGCAUGGAAAACCCUCCUCUCCGACUUUCGGCCUCUCCCCGACCUCUGGCCGGUGCUGCAGGAGGUACACAACACCCACCUCCAUGCCAUUGCAACUUCCAGCCGCGACGUCCAUCGCCUUCUCUAGAUUCAGCGGCUAUCUGCACAGCUGCACGCCAGCUGUUCGGUCAAUUGACCCAACAGACAGGAGCCUAGAGAAUGGAGAGCAAGAGGAGAUGUUGUCUUUGGCACCAUACUGAACUAUUGAGGCAGCAGGAAGAUGAGUGUAUCGUGCAAGAGGAGAUCCUGGCCGCCGUCCUGUGCCUCGGCGACCAGUACGAUCACGUCCUCACGUGCCUCCUCCUGGCUGAUCCGAUGCCAGCAACUGUCAUCUUCCCAAAAUUUAAAUGGACACUUGGAUGUUCUUAUUAUUUUUCUUCUGAAAUGAACAUAGCUGUGAAUUUUUUCUUGGGUGGAAUCAAAUUCUGAUGGAAUUUACAAUAUACUCUGUAUUGUUGUUUUUUAGGUCUUACACAUCUCGUGUACCCAGGGUCAUCCACACCCGUUUUGAACGUUCAUUAGAUGUUUAUCGGCUAGCUGGGGAGGCAUGAAUAAUCUUUAAAAGACCAUGUUUGUACUGUUAAACACAUGCUCCAGAAAUGCUAUACAUGUUCUCUUCUUUGUUCUUUUGGUGCAUGUGAGUUACAAGGCAACAUUGAGAACACAAAAGCCAGUAUGUUUGAGCUAUGGGCACAAGCUAGGGGCAGUACCUCCCGGCUGCCCCAGCACUUAAGGCGACUGUCCAAUUCCACUUUCAUCCAUGGAGGCUGUGGUUUAGUUCUCAGUUUUUUGGCUUAUCGUUGUGCCUCAAGUUUCCGACAUCGCGUGGCUGUACACCAAUGACUUUCGCCGAUAAUCCGUCUGCUCGUACUCGACCGUUCACCGGAACUUUGUGUGACCUGAGGUACACCACAUGUACUCAUUACAAGAUGAUCUUCAGGAAAGACAAUAAUUACAAGUAGCGAUCAAAGGAGAUAAAGCUAGCUAAAUUUUUAUCUAGGAAGAACAACUGCUGUAUGACAGAAAAAUAUAAGAAAAGAUAAACUAAUAUCAUGGUGAUGGCAUUACUUGACUAUUUUGGAAGUAGCAAUCAAAGGUGAUAAUGGUAGCUAAUUUUUUAUAUAGGAAGAACAGCUGUUGUGACAGAGAAACGAAAGCUAAAUAUAAAAGUAUAUACCUGUUUGUGUCUGUCAAUUUAAUUGUCAUGAGUAUUUCAAAUUCAUUCUUCUUACUUCUUCAGAUAAUACACUAUGUACUACUUUUGUUCAGGUAUAUACUACUUUUUAUCAUUUUUACUUUUUCUAACCGGAUGCAUGCAUGCUUGUCCUCAUAGGUUUCCCUUGGUUCAGUACUCAAUUUUUUUGGUGUAUACUUUCUCCUCAUCAGUGAAGUAUAUGUACGACAAGACAGAAAGAAACAUAUACUGCUGAUCGAUACUGAAAUAUCAUAUGGAAGAUAGCCCUCUCUUCUAUACCCCUUUGUGAAAAGUAGUAUACUAUCAUUUGAAAAGAAAGCACACCAUAUACUCCUUUCUGAUAAUGAGUAUACACUGAUCGUUAUUUCCAGUGUCAUAGGUAUAUACUCUGAGAAUAGUUGUAUAUAUCUGUUUUGAAAAUAUAGUAUGUAUAUACUCCUUGCAAACUACUCCAUAUCAUUUAAGCGUUUUUACAUAAGACUGUCCGUCUAGAUACAAUAACUAAUUAGUAUUUUAAUAACUUGAAUUGCAUGGCUUGAGCUCUGUGCUGGGGUCUUCUCUUAUGUAUGAGUGCACCAUGUGCGGAUUAAAUUUUUUGGGGUCUUCUAACUCUCUGGGACAAUUUGCAUCUUUAUUUGUGCUAAUUGGCAAGGUGCAUGAAUAAUGAUUUAUCUAGGGUUUUUGCUUAAUGGAAAGGCCUUUUCAGUUAAAAAAACCCUACUGAUUUGAUCAACAGAGCAUGCCUCUGUUUUUAAAUAGCAGUAGUUCCUUUGACCUUCUCCUUAUUUAAUUGACUAUUUUGGUCUCAAGAUCCAAUAGCCUUGCUGUUAGUUAAUGCUCUAUUUAUAUUUUCUUCCAACAAAACAAAUGUAUGUUUACAGGAAAAAAGUCGCCAUUUCCAGCAAAAACAAUGGCCUGCUGUCGCCAGGUCGCAACAAAAGUUUUGGCCGGUCCCAUAAGAAAAAUAGUUCCAGCAAAAAAAGAUUGUUGUUGCGGUCACAGGUACUAUAUGGUUUCACUCUACGCCUCUGUAGUUAUUUGGCUGAAGAUGUGCAUUACUGUUGGCUGUGAUAAUACAUAUAGUAAGAUUGCAUGUUAUACCAGCUUAGCAGAACUUCACGGAAAUUUGCUAGAGGAGUUGCAACAGCCUUGAUCAAAUAUUAUUUUCAUUAUUCCUUCUUGGUUUUAGACAAUAACAGUAGAUAAUCUUCAUCGAAAUUUGCUAGAGAAGUUGCAACAGCUUUGAUCAAAUAUUAUUUUUAUUAUUCCUUCUUGGCUUUAGACAAUAAAGUAGAGAACCAAAAUCCUUCUACUGUAUGUGUACCUGUAAUAGAGAAAAGUCACUCUGUCUUUAUCAUGCCAAUAGGCCAAUGUGCCCAGAAAUUAGACAACAGGGGGAAUUAGCUAGUCACCGGCUCUGAAAGCAUAAAAAACAAUUCAGUAUUUAGGCGACUACUCAAUUUUGAAGAGCUACUUCUUCAAAAAAGAUAGAUGCGUGAGCUUUUUCUAAACUGUAGGAUAUCAUAGUCUGCUCUGCUAGCUGUAAAUUGUAGGGGAUUAGUGUAGCUUAAUGCCGUUGUUGAACUGAGUUAGCAAGUAUAUGUUGCUUUUUGUUAGGAAAGUGAAAAAGAAACUCUUUGAUGUCGGGCCUAUCCCUGUGGCAGUGACAACUUUUUAAUUUACUCACAAGCAUCAAAUAUUUUGUGAUGAGAGAAGUUGGUGAGUACCUAAUAGGUUUGAGGCGCUAUUUUCAUUUGCUAUGCUCGACAACCAUGAAAAAGUUGGGAUUGCAGCAAUCAUGCUAAAUCUAUUCAAGUGUGUUAGUUUUACGCGGACGCGGCGAUUUGGUGCCCGAGCCCAGAUGCACCCGAAAUCGUCGGCGUCUGUUCGUGGCUUGGGAUACUCAAAAUUCGCUCUGACGCAUCUGACGCGGAGUGUGGGAAAAUGGGUGUGCGGUGGAAUACGGCAGCGAACAGUAGCGCAUUCGUGGGCACAGAACGUACGGGCGUCUGAGCCGUGGCUCAGAACUUGUACUGAUCCGUCUGGGAAACAUGUCGAGGGCUUCGGGACGGGGCGGUUUGACGAGCAAUGAGAUCGAGCGCUGGUGGGAGGUACCUCACGGUAAUGGCGGGCGCGGUGGAGCAGCGCUGGAUGCCGAUGGCAUGGAGUUCCUGCUGGAGCCAGGCUACCGGAGUUCGCGGACAGCUUGAAGCAGCCAAAUCCGGACACUCUAGGGUUCCUCCGUCCAUCCAUGGCCACUGGGCUGCAUCGCCGCCGACGCCGUCGCCACCGCCCCAUCGCCGUCGACCCUGACGCCACCGCUGCUCUCUAGAUCUCAGUCUCGCCGGCGCUCCUCUCUGCCUUGGGCCCCUGUACUGGACAGCUGCUCGCCGGUGUGGUCUUUCUCCUGUACUGGACAGCUGCUCGCCGGUGUCGUCUUUCUCCUGUAUUGGUCGGCGGCAUCUCGUUCUCCUGUACUGGUCGGCAGCAUCUCGUUCUCCUGUACUGGUCGUCUGCACGAGAUCUCUAGUCCGGCAGCCUCCACCAGACACCACGGGUUUUGGUCUGCCAUGUCCCCAUAACAGAGCAAGAUGAAGAUAAAGAGCUUUAUAAAUUCGCUGAUGGCGUUCAUCCAGAGACACCUGUUGAUAAUCAGUGGCUGAAGGAGAAGCUCUUGGAAGACCCUGAGAUACCUUUCCCUGGAGAUUCCUGACACAAGUUCAAAUUCCCUGAUCCCUAUCAGUAGGAGCAGAGCAGCAACUCCCGUACACUGAUCAUAUUCAGCAUAGGGAGCAGAGGAGGAACUCCUUAGUGCAGGAGCAGAGGAGCAACUCCCGUACCUUCUUCCUCCUGAUGAGCAGGAGCUCUGGCGGCAGCACGGGCAGACGAGCAGCAGCAGCACCGUUGGUAGGGGAGAAGCAGCCGCACGGGCACGCGGGCAGGUGAGAAGGAGUUGCACGGGCUCACGUGGAAGAUUGAGGAGGACGCGCGGGAGAUUAAGGAGGGAGCGCGUGAGCUCCUGGUCCACCGGAUCGUGGAGGCAAUUUCCGACGACGCCCGUAGGGGAUCACGGCCGGGAGGAAUUGCGGUGGCGCACGCGCGGGAGCUCGAGGAGGAUGCGCUGGAGCUUGAGGAGGAUGCGCUGGAGCUUGAGGAGGAUGCGCAGGAGCUCGAGGUGGACACCGACGAGCUCGAGGAGGACAUGGCCGGAGGUCCUGACGAUGCCCGCAGGUAAUCGAGGCGGGAGGGGAUCGCGGCGACGCAGGUCUGAGCGGGGGAGGCGGCGGAGCAGGUACUUGGCGACGGUGGCGGUGGAGCAGGUACGUGGCGAUGGCGGCGGAGCACUUCCUGAUGGGCGGCGAGUCGCGCAGCUGGGCGGCGCCGGCCCCUAUCAACGACGAAGGAAGAAGACAGGGGGUAGAGGGGCUUGUUUCAGACGAUUUUAAAACUAUGAGUUUUUUUUUUGCAAAAUCACCAAUGAACUGCGCCCGCGACAUGUUUUUCCGGACGGAGGGAGUAUAAUGCAAAUUAUGUAAGUGGGAUGUGAACCGGGAAGAGCAAUGGUUGAAUUGUUGUCAGUGGAACGGUAAUGGGUGAACUGUAAGCAGUGACGUAUUGUGAACUGGAUGUGUAUUUGAUGCAUAAUUUCUUUGAAGUUGAACUGUGUAAUGAACUGAUGUACAGGGGUUGGGUAGAAAACGAAAAUGGUUUUGGGCGGGUUGGA